UCCGUAGGUGAACCUGCGGAGGGAUCAUUACCGAGUUAUCCAACUCCCAACCCCUGUGAAUUAUACCUUUAAUUGUUGCUUCGGCGGGACUUCGCGCCCGCCGGGGACCCAAACCUUCUGAAUUUUUUAAUAAGUAUCUUCUGAGUGGUUUAAAAAAAAAAUGAAUCAAAACUUUCAACAACGGAUCUCUUGGUUCUGGCAUCGAUGAAGAACGCAGCGAAAUGCGAUAAGUAAUGUGAAUUGCAGAAUUCAGUGAAUCAUCGAAUCUUUGAACGCACAUUGCGCCCGUCAGUAUUCUGGCGGGCAUGCCUGUUCGAGCGUCAUUACGCCCCUCAAGUCCCCUGUGGACUUGGUGUUGGGGAUCGGCGAGGCUGGUUUUCCAGCACAGCCGUCCCUUAAAUUAAUUGGCGGUCUCGCCGUGGCCCUCCUCUGCGCAGUAGUAAAGCACUCGCAACAGGAGCCCGGCGCGGUCCACUGCCGUAAAACCCCCCAACUUUUUAUAGUUGACCUCGAAUCAGGUAGGACUACCCGCUGAACUUAAGCAUAUCAAUAAGCGGAGGA
rnacentral:rRNA from 1 species